CUACGGGCCGCUCCAGUGAGGAAUAUUGCACAAUGGGGGGAACCCUGAUGCAGCAACGCUGCGUGGAGGAUGACGCAUUUCGGUGUGUAAACUCCUUUUAUAUGUCAAGAAAAUGACGGUAGCAUAUGAAUAAGCACCGGCUAACUCCGUGCCAGCAGCCGCGGUAAUACGGAGGGUGCAAGCGUUACUCGGAAUCACUGGGCGUAAAGGACGCGUAGGCGGGUUGGAAAGUCAGGUGUGAAAUCCUACAGCUUAACUGUAGAACUGCACUUGAAACUUCUAAUCUAGAGUAUGGGAGGGGGAGAUGGAAUUAGUGGUGUAGGGGUAAAAUCCGUAGAUAUCACUAGGAAUACCUAAAGCGAAGGCGAUCUCCUGGAACAUUACUGACGCUAAGACGUGAAAGCGUGGGGAGCAAACAGGAUUAGAUACCCUAGUAGUC
rnacentral:rRNA from 1 species